rfam:Firmicutes bacterium CAG:129 genomic scaffold, scf189
GAGCGAGAUAGAGGCGCGGCCGACAAGAGUACCGAGUCCGUACGGAGCAGAGAUCCGGGACAAAGGGAAAGGGGAAGCCGCCGAAGUGGGGAACGGUUCCUGUGCCGUUUUCUGCUGGCUCGUCGGAGAAGAUCCGCCGGACUGUCACAAUUUGUGGAGCGCUAUCGAAGAG